UACGUAGGGAGCGAGCGUUGUCCGGAUUUACUGGGUGUAAAGGGUGCGUAGGCGGCUCUUUAAGUCAGGGGUGAAAACUAUCGGCUUAACCGAUAGACUGCAUUUGAAACUGGGGGGCUUGAGUGGGGCAGAGGUAGGCGGAACUCCGGGUGUAGCGGUGAAAUGCGUAGAUAUCGGGAGGAACACCAGUGGCGAAGGCGGCCUGCUGGGCUUUAACUGACGCUGAGGCACGAAAGCGUGGGUAGCAAACAGG
rnacentral:rRNA from 1 species